UACGUAGGGUGCAAGCGUUAAUCGGAAUUACUGGGCGUAAAGCGUGCGCAGGCGGCUUUGCAAGACAGAUGUGAAAUCCCCGGGCUUAACCUGGGAACUGCAUUUGUGACUGCAUGGCUGGAGUGCGGCAGAGGGGGGGUGGAAUUCCACGUGUAGCAGUGAAAUGCGUAGAGAUGUGGAGGAACACCGAUGGCGAAGGCAGCCCCCUGGGCCAAUACUGACGCUCAUGCACGAAAGCGUGGGGAGCAAACAGG
rnacentral:rRNA from 1 species